GACAUCGUAGCAAAGUGGUCUAAUGCGUCUGACUAGAAAUCAGAUCCCUUCGGGGGCGCAGGUUCGAACCCUGCCGAUGUCG
rnacentral:ncRNA from 13 species